CGACGUGUAGCUCAGUCAGGAGAGCGCCGGCUCGUAACCCGGUGGGCGCGGGUGCGACUCCCGCCACGUCGG
rnacentral:tRNA from 1 species